rnacentral:sRNA from 1 species
CUGAAAUCGCUUAGUUUUAGCCCGUCCCGGGCCCGA